UGGCAAAAACUGACCCAACCCGAUAACCCGACCUGAAACUGACCUGAAAAUUUCGGGUUCGGGUUGAGAUUUUCGACCUGAAAAAAAAAAUGGGUCGACCCAACCCGACCUGAAAAUAUAAUGGGUUAGGUUCAGGUUGACCUUUUGAACCUGAAACUAACCUGAAAUGACCUGAAAUAAAAAUAAGGUUUAGGGCCUUAGACUAAGUUAUCCGGACAACCUAACUUAUAAUAUUGGGCCAAGCCCAAUAACCCUAAGGCUAAAAUAAACAACGUUUUUUACUGCUACUGACCUAGACCUACUGUAUAAUUUACAAUCAAAAGUUCAAAAUCAAAACCCUAGAGACUAGAGAGUAGAGACUUCUCUCCAAAAAAGAAAAACCCUAGUCAGUAAAUCAAAACUCUAAAGAGUAGAGAGUAGAGACCCAUUGAAGAUUUGAAGUUCAAUCAAAACUGGAAUUCGAACUUUGGAAUUCUUCUAAAUCUUCAACAAUUUACAAUCUAUGUGGGAAAGUCAUGGCUCUCAAAGUUGAUGAUACUCCAACUCCAAGUCCACCUGAAAGUGCUGCUCAAAGUCCACAUGUUGAGGCUGCCAUGGGAAAUAGUCAAACCUGAAGAUUUCUAUUUUGAAUGAAUUGAACUAUUUUAUUUUACUUUUUGCAAGAAAUAAUUAAAUCUUGAAUUUAUGUUUUGUAAUCUGAAGUUGGUGGAUAAUUUAUGGUUCUGAAUGUAGAAAGUUGAAACUUUAAUUUUUA